GCAUCCUCCUGAAAGAAAAGGAGCAAUCCGGUAUGAGAUGGGCCCGCAUCUGAUUAGCUAGUUGGUGAGAUAACAGCCCACCAAGGCGACGAUCAGUAGCCGACCUGAGAGGGUGAUCGGCCACAUUGGGACUGAGACACGGCCCAAACUCCUACGGGAGGCAGCAGUGGGGAAUAUUGCACAAUGGGGGAAACCCUGAUGCAGCAACGCCGCGUGAAGGAAGACGGUUUUCGGAUUGUAAACUUCUAUCAAUAGGGACGAAGAAAGUGACUGUACCUAAAUAAGAAGCCCCGGCUAACUACGUGCCAGCAGCCGCGGUAAUACGUAGGGGGCAAGCGUUAUCCGGAAUUACUGGGUGUAAAGGGUGAGUAGGCGGCAUGGCAAGUAAGAUGUGAAAGCCCGAGGCUUAACCUCGGGGUUGCAUUUUAAACUGCUAAGCUAGAGUACAGGAGAGGAAAGCGGAAUUCCUAGUGUAGCGGUGAAAUGCGUAGAUAUUAGGAAGAACACCAGUGGCGAAGGCGGCUUUCUGGACUGAAACUGACGCUGAGGCACGAAAGCGUGGGGAGCGAACAGGAUUAGAUACCCUGGUAGUCCACGCCGUAAACGAUGAGUGCUAGGUGUCGGAGGGGAACCUUCGGUGCCG
rnacentral:rRNA from 1 species